UACGUAGGGUGCAAGCGUUAAUCGGAAUUACUGGGCGUAAAGCGUGCGCAGGCGGUUUUGUAAGUCUGUCGUGAAAUCCCCGGGCUUAACCUGGGAAUGGCGAUGGAGACUGCAAGGCUGGAAUCUGGCAGAGGGGGGUAGAAUUCCACGUGUAGCAGUGAAAUGCGUAGAGAUGUGGAGGAACACCGAUGGCGAAGGCAGCCCCCUGGGUCAAGAUUGACGCUCAUGCACGAAAGCGUGGGGAGCAAACAGG
rnacentral:rRNA from 1 species